AACGAACGCUGGCGGCGCGUCUUAAGCAUGCAAGUCGAACGGCAAGAGAGGAGCUUGCUUCUCUCCUAGAGUGGCGGACUGGUGAGGAACACGUGGGUAAUCUACCCUUAAGAUGGGGAUAGCUGCUAGAAAUAGCAGGUAAUACCGAAUACACUCGGCAUAUCCCAAGAGGUGUUGAGGAAAGGAAGCUACGGCUUCGCUUGAGGAUGAGCUUGCGUCCCAUUAGCUAGUUGGUGAGGUAAAGGCCCACCAAGGCGACGAUGGGUAUCCGGCCUGAGAGGGUGAACGGACACAUUGGGACUGAGAUACGGCCCAAACUCCUACGGGAGGCAGCAGCUAAGAAUAUUCCGCAAUGGACGGAAGUCUGACGGAGCGACGCCGCGUGGAUGAAGAAGGCUGAAAAGUUGUAAAAUCCUUUUGUUGAUGAAGAAUAAGGGUGAGAGGGAAUGCUCAUCUGAUGACGGUAAUCGACGAAUAAGCCCCGGCUAAUUACGUG
rnacentral:rRNA from 1 species